rnacentral:rRNA from 1 species
AGAGUUUGAUUCUGGCUCAGAUUGAACGCUGGCGGUAGGCUUAACCACAUGCAAGUCGUGCGAGAAAGUAUCUUCGGAUAUGAGUAGAGCGGCGGACGGGUGAGUAACGCGUAGGAAUCUACCUAGUAGAAGGGGAUAGCCCGAGGAAACUCGGAUUAAUACCGUAUACCUCCUUAGGGAGAAAGAGGGCCUCUCUUGAAGCUUUCGCUAUUAGAUGAGCCUGCGUAAGAUUAGCUUGUUGGUGAGGUAAUGGCUCACCAAGGCUACGAUCUUUAGCUGGUCUGAGAGGACGAUCAGCCACAUUGGGACUGAGACACGGCCCAGACUCCUACGGGAGGCAGCAGUGGGGAAUAUUGGACAAUGGGCGCAAGCCUGAUCCAGCCAUACCGCGUGUGUGAAGAAGGCUCUAGGGUUGUAAAGCACUUUAAGCAGGGAGAAAAAGUUAUAAGUUAAUACCUUAUAACCCUGAUGUUACCUGCAGAAUAAGCACCGGCUAAUUCCGUGCCAGCAGCCGCGGUAAUAC